UAAUACAAAUGAAAACUCAACUUGAUAUACCCGAGCACUUUAUAAGCAGGAAAGAUCUGGAAACAACAAGGUUUUAUUACUACAUCAGGAAAACCAAUUGCUCAUGCAGAAAUAAUAAAUGAAUUGUUGGAAGCUAUCCAGAAGCCUAAACAGCUAGCGGUAAUCCAUUGUAGAAGUCAUACUAAUAGAAGAGAUUCAGUUGCUAAAGGAAGUCAUAGAGCUGAUUAUAACUGCGAAAUUUGUGGCCA
rnacentral:lncRNA from 1 species